GCUGAAGGCAAAAGCGGAAAUGUGAACAUAUUUCUGGAGCUAAUGAAAGUAGCUCUGAAUAGUUCCUCUUUUUGUGUAAAGGGGGAAACUACAGUUUCUGAUAUUAUGUCCACUUGUUUUAUAGGAAUUCCAUUGCCAGGAAAGUUUUUAUUUGCAG